GUCGCUCCCCGGAGCAUCUGCCCCAUGUGCAUCAGUGUCCCAGGACAGCCAGGACCUUCGGCUUGCCAGGGGGGUCCUGCAGCUUUUCAGCACCCCCUCGGGGGGAGCAGCUGCCCCUGUGGCCUGGGCAGUUGCAAAACUGGUGCAAGAGUCCAGCGUGAAAUCCUGGUUUAUUUGGGGCUGGGAGUUUAGGGUACAUCCCUAUGAAGGGACAGCUUGUGUGGGUGCAGGCAGGGCAGGUUACUUCAAGGCCCUUGGUGGAUGAAGGAUCCCAAGGACCCUCUGCACUCAGGUGUGGGCUGGGAACAGCUCCAUGGCAAGGAAAUCCCUUUUGUGGGCAGAAAAGGCAACGAUUGCCUAAGCUACGGGUGCUGGCUCUCUUGCUUGCAUGUUUUGGCCGCGGUACCACUCUGGGCUCGAGGCUCGCUCGCUGCCUUGUGUUUGUGGGCAGGGAAUUGAGGCACGCACCAGAGCAAUAAUGGCCCAAGCCGACGAUUUCACGGCUGGCACAUGGUUCUGCAGCCGGUCCUGGUGCUGGAGGACUUGGUUGGGGAAAACACCUCCUGAUGGAGGAGGACCCAGCCCCGUCCUCGUGCCCUGGUGGGACCGAGUCGCUGCCAGCCCAGAGCAGGAGGCUUUGGGAUUUCUGCCAGCUGAGGACGGCUCUGGGUCUGUGCUAAUGCAGAAGAAGGCACAGAACUGACCUUGUUCCAGGCCCUUUUCCAUGGGGUUGCAAUGCUGGGAAGGAGCCCUGGGGUAAAAGUAGCAUGGGAAUUGCCUGACAGCCUGUGCCAGGUCACUCUGUCCUGGGAGAAAGCUUACCCUCGGCUGGAACUGGGACCACGUAGUCUUGGAAAAGGAGAGUCACUGGGGUUAAAAAAGCACUGAGGACCUUUAGUUUUACCUCCCUAAGUACGCAGGGUUUUCAGGAGCUGUCCUGGCUGCAUACCAGGAAUAGCAGGCUGGCUGUAGCACUACGAGAACGAACGCCAGGGAUCCGUCCCUUGGCACGAGGCUGAGUGAUGUGUCCCGGGCUGUCCAGGACUUGCCCUGUAAUGUCCGGGUGUCCUGGAGAGCGCUUCUCCCAGUCCCAAAAAGAGCAGCAGAGGGUGAGCUGAUCGCCAGCAGCGUGAAUGACAAGGAGGCGAGUGCUCAGCUUACUCCCUGCUCCUCCCUAAUGCAGCAGUGUCGGAUGUACCAGUGCAUCUGGGUAAAGAAGAUGUCCUAGGACAGCUACAACCACCCAAUUUCUGUCCCUUGUGCCACACACAGGAGCAAGGUGGCAGAAUCCCACCGCAUUGGACUCUUUUUCCUCCAGGUGAUCACAUACCCGUCUGCAGCCAGGCUGGCAGAAAGCUGCCCUCAGGCACCAUUCACUCCUCCCAGACUUCAGCAAGAGCCCUCAGCUGUUGGACAGCACUGCAGUCCUCCAGGUUACCUGUGCUGAUGCUAACCAGUUAGCUAACUGGUACCUGGUUAGCAGCAGAACAGGCGGCAUCAGUACUGGGGGGCUUGGGUAGCUGCUGCUAUGUGAAGACCAGCAGUGCCUGCCUGUCCAGCUGUCAGUGGGUCUUGUGGUCUGAGAAUAUUCUUCGCUGUUAUCUUCAGUGUCUGCCUAAUCUGGCGUCUGCAAGUGAAAUUACACAGUUCAGCCCAUGGCAGGAGCUGGAUGUGUGAAGAAUUUCACCUUCCUUCAUGGUAGGAAGGCAAAGGUGUUACGAGGUAGGCUGGGUGGGGAUCCAAGGCAGUGCAUUGAACUGAUUGGAAACAAAGCAGAAAAAGAGGGGAAGGAAAGAAGGAAGGAAAGAAGCAAGGAAGAAAGCAAGGAAAAAAUAAGCUAAACAAGGAGCUCCACAUUGCAACAUUGCAGGCGGGGUUGUGUUCCAAGUGCAUUGGGAUCUGGGAAUCCUUCCUUCUAAAUAUUUCUAAGUAUCAGAGCAAUCUGGAAGCGUUUUAACUUGGAAGCAAUGCAGUGCUUUGCCCUCUCUGCUCUCAAACUGCUUUCCAGCUUGUGGGCUUUUUUUGCCAUGUAUUUGUUUUCUCCCUCGGGACAGGUGAUCCAGCUUUUCCCUGCUGCUUGUGUCGUUCUCAGUGCCUGACCCCACUUCUGCCAGUAGCUCUUCUUACCCACUAAGAGCUGCUCUUUCUGGCAGAAUUAGUUUUUUUUUUGUUUUUUGUUUUUUUUCCAAUCACUUCUCCUUUUCCCUCCCAGUCUUCCACUCUCAUUGUUUUUCUCCUUCUGCUCUUUUGCCAUCUGUGUGAUUGUCUCAUGCCUCCAUUAUAAAGUUCUAUGAAAUCCUCGCUGAAAAUUAUCGUGCUGCUACAAAAGCUGGGGAUUAGAUUCAUCCUUCAGCUCAGGUCAGCGGAGGUAAUGUGCAGAUACAUUCAUCUGCUUCUUUCAGGAAACUGCACAGGAGUUGGGAGAUGUGGCUGUGCCGUGUGCUCUCUGGGGUGCUGUCAGAAUAUUGCCAGGAUAUUUGCAAAAAGGAGCAAAUUUGUGGAGAGAGCUGAAGGCCUGGAGUCUCACACCAUCAGUCAUCUCUAGGGACAGUCAGCUUCACCCAUCUCCAUUUCUUCUCAAGAUCUGGGACAAGUGAUAGUCUUUCUUACAGGGGUACCAAGGAUUACAUCAAGAAAACAAAACCAUAACGUUCAACACGCUGAUCCUGCAGGCUGACCCAAGAGAUGACAUCCUGGGCUAUAUUCACACUACUAGCUUCGGCAGAAUUGUGCUUUGACUGUACAUGUAUUUCUCCCUCUGUUCCUGGAGACAGUGAUUUAUUCUUUCUAAAUCAGGUGACAUAAUUGGCUAAAUUGAGUCGUUAAAGGCUAAAUUGUGCCACUGGGAUUGCUAAGAGGCAGUACGUGUGGAGGCUGUUCCAGGAGCAUCCUGGAAUGGGAGCUGAGACCCAAAGCAUCUGCUUCUCUCUUUCUUUCCUGCUUUCCAAGAAAGUGCUUUCUGUAGGUCUGAAAGGAAUGCAAGAUCACAUCUCGCAUCCUCCGAGUGCCUCAGCCUGCUUGAAAUUCCCUCACCUGGAUAAUAAAGGUUGGAUCUCUGCCUUCAUUUGGCCAAAACCUCUACAAGUCAUUUUUACCCCACCUGGAUGGAAAAAAAAAAUCUUUUAUGGUGGAAAAAUCACGUGCUAUCGAAACGUAUGUCUGCCCAUGCUCUCUGCAAUCCCAGUGCUGUCUCUGCAACUCUUCUUUCUCCAUCAUCCUCCCUUCUUGAUGUUUAUCAAAUUCAGCAGUCAGGAAAGACCUGUCCUGCAGAGCUUCCAUGUCCUCCAUUUCUGCGUGCCAGGUGGGGGCAGCAUCCUUCAAACAUGCAGAUGGUGCUCACCUUUCUAUAAACGUGAGUGGGAAGGAAGAGACCAGGCUGGGCUCACACACUCAGAGGCAGCAUUUGUUGGGUCUCUGCUCCUGAAGUCCAAGAAGUGAACUACAGCUCUGGACCUCUAUUGCCUGAGCUUCCUAACUGCUAAUUUACCGCCCAGCUCUUUUGGGGGCCUCUUGAAUGAGUUCUGAGACAAAUAUGCUAUGGAGAGGUCUGGCCCUAAGUAGGGCAGCUACAAACCAGUCAUCACCAUUUGCCCUCGGGAGCAGCAGCCAGUCACUGGCCAUGCUCUUCAGCCCUGUAGAUGCAAAGCAUCUUUCCCAAAGUGGGAGAGAAAAAGGAGGCAGGAAUGAAUGAUGAAAUCCUUAAGUAAUACAUUUUGUUUGCUCUGCCUCUGCACCCAUUCCCAUCUUAUUUGAGGUUAUUACUGCAACAUUAUUUAUGCUUCAAACACAGGAAUUUUUUCAAAGUCAUGAACAGCUCCAUGAACUUAAGAAAAGACUCAGAAGGAGUCGUUCUUUCUCUGUUUGAAGUCCUAGCAGACUUAAAGUUUCUGUAAUAAAACUGUCAGUCCAUAAAGUUAGGCUGCUAAGACCACAGAUGAAAUGUAGUUAUUCUAAAGCAACUGAGCAGCCAACAGCUCCUUUGAAAAGUAGUGAUAGUUUCUAGGAACCCAGCACUUUUGAAAAGUCUUUCAAUUUAAUCCUGAGUUUUCCAGAGGAAUAAUGAACAGUAAAUUUCAGUGACUUAAUUUUCAACUGCUCAUGUUGAAAUAGCCUUAGGACUCUGAUCGCUCCUGCUGCCAGCUCUCAGACAUCUCAGCAGUAAAAAUCAACUGCCUAAGCAGCAGCUGUUGAAUCACCGCAUGUUGCAGGUUUGUAUUUCCAAGAAAACUGGCUGUGAUUUUAGGUUAUCCUGCAAGGCUGGGUUGAUAAACUGCAUUGACCUUCAGCAGGACUCUGGACAUCCAAAAUGGUGAGCCAGGUGAGUGGCUUGGAGGAGACUCUUUGAGGCAAGCUGCCCCCUUUGCCUUUAUUUUCAGUCACCCUUUGCUGUGAGGCUUCUUGAAAGUUCUUCAAACUGCAAAUGAAGGAAGCAGUGCUCCCAUGAUUACUAUUAGCUUUUCGAAUACUGGAUUUAGACCAGUAGAUGUGGCUUUAGACAUCUGUGUUUGGACCUCUUGUCAAAACCAAAAACAGUAUGAAAAUUAUCAAAAUCGGUCGUGGAUUUGUUGGGACUGCAAAGCUGCUGAUCACACCGGCAGACUCUGCUUUUGGUUUCUCUCUGCUGGGCUGAGCUUUGAACGCACAUGAAAAAGAAUGGAGAAGUUGAAAUAAGCCAGUUAAAAUUCUCAAAAGAACUGUCUUUAAACACAGAAGCAUUCAGAGAACAAAGCCUCCUUUUCAGCACUCCUGGCUCUUUCCUAGGGGCCGUUUCUUACAGUUCUGCUAAAUCAGUUGAGAAAGUCACUAAAGCAUAGCAACAUCGCUGUGUUCCUAUGAAAAAAGCACCAAAGAUCCUUGAGAAAACUCUGAACAGCGCAGAAAGCAAGAACAAAUGUUUUAUAUAUGUGGUAUUGUUAAAACUCCCAAGUGGCAUAAAUAUAAUAAACAAUAGUGAAGAAUGGGAUAUUUCUGCUUGUUUCCACACACUCAGGAUGACCUAACCUACCUCAGGCAUGGUUCCACUUUGUGACUUGUGAGUUAUUUGAUCGUUCCAAACUUGUGAAAAUAAACACUAUUAUUCUA